rnacentral:lncRNA from 1 species
UAGAUGCUUUCGAAAAUGUGGUGUCUCGGUGUCUGCUGUUUCUGUUAAUCCUGAAGAUGCUCACCCGUGAGACUGAAUCAGAAGCCUGUCCCUGCCCUCACUCAGAGGAUGAGUCACACGGUGUGGGCGAGGUUUGGAGAUGGAAGCCAGCUCUGCUCUCUCCGUUGGUAACCAAGGCAAAGGCAUCUUGCUGAGAGAAUGCUUGCAAGUGCAUAGAAAGCUAAUCCCACGGUCAGGCCUGUGAAUGUUGGUUACCACUGUUGGCUAUCCUUUGCUUAAGUUUAAGUCACGGCAUCUUCAGAAUCACAUAGUUCCAAGAUACCAAGCUGCAGCACUAACAAAGAGAUGAAGGACUGUCUUCUAGGCUGCACAACUGGCAAACCGAAGUCCUGCAAUUCCAGGCGAGGAUUGCUGCACUUACUUGAGAGACUUUGUUCCUCCUUUGUACCUGCCACGCGCUCUGCUGGGCACAGUUGUGUCCCUGUAAUCAGCAUAGUGAAGACCAAUGGGGUAGUUUGGUCACCGUAGGAAAAAAAAAACAAACUCUUCGACGCCGAUUUCACAACUACUCAUGGAAUCCCACAAACUCUUCUUUGCUGCAGCUCAGAAUCUCUUCAACUGACCGAAUUAUUUCCGUCGAUGUGAAUUUCAAUGCCAUCCAAUAGCAACAAGAUUCAACUAAACAAAGGAUGAGCUGUCCUUAGGGUUUCCCAGAGGGGCUUCUGUCAUAACUUUUCAGUCAGAUGAAUCUGAAGAAUAAAAUUAUUACCAUCUGUCCAGUUCAGGUAGAGAGGAAACUUGUAUUUUAGGGAUGGGCUUUUCUUCUCGUGGGUCUCGUCAGGAGAUUAAAAAUAAAAGAUUCCCCUCCCCCAAAUUCCAUCACCAAGGACAGGUCAUAAUAUCAGGACAUGUCAGUCAGAGGUGAGUGAGAAGCAUAAACUGCUGAGAAGCAGAGACAGACCGAUAGCUCUAGAUGAGGCCAGAGACAGCAUGAGGAAGAGUGCAGACUAUACUAGGGAGAACAAAGGAGAAAAUGAUCGGGCCCAUCCGCGAUUUCGCGAAGCUCUUUGGAGAACUGAAAAUCACUGAGUCGAGUCCUGGACAGCGAGGAAUGUGCUUCCGAAGGACGAAUGACGCGGGAGAGGAGUGGAGUGUAAAAUGGCGUUCAAGUGCCUGUAUCAAAAGGAAGCAUCAGACAACUUGGAAAUCGAUCAAUAGUGUCAUUCAAGUGGAACACAGAACAGACAAUAACCGAAAGAGUAAAGUAGACCCAUUGCUGGGUGACAGAUUUUACUGAGGAGACAUGGUGCACGCGCUUACUCGUCCCAUGUGGGAACCCGAGGCAGACCACAGUAGCACUUGCACCAGUGUUCUACUUGGUGAGCCAGGAUGUUCUCAUUAGAGUUAUCAACAGACGUGUGGUGAGCGGUUACUGACAACAAAUAGGACCAACUCAAAUGUAGCUGUCUGAUCCGAGGGCCCGCAGCAACAGAGCAAGCUGCUCCUCAGGAAGGCUGCGACCCUGGAGCAAUCGGGAUAGCUUGCAGGCCACCGCCCAAACCUCUCCUCUGCAGCAAUGCAUCUCUACCCAGCAACUGUUUGCUCCUUUUAUAAAACUGGGAGAGACUUUCCAGAGGAUCUUCCAAGUUGUUCUUUUCCUAGACGUGUGACCUUUUCUUUACCUCCCAAGUCUCCGGAGCCUCUUCCUUUCUCCUGGAGGGAAGGUUUCAGUUCAGAGGAAAUUGCCUGACAGCUCCUGUAUGUGCCCCUUUCCACUGCUAACGCAGCCUCUGCUUCUUCCAAACCCACAGAGCAGAGGUCAUGAUGGCAUUGCGUCUGUGGAGUUAGUGCCAGAUUCCACGGAUUCAAGAGUUAUCCCAUUUCUCCCCAUUUCUCUUGGGAUUCCAAGGCUACCCAUACUUCCCAGUUAACUACAAACGUGGGGGUUCCCAAACGCUUCUCCACAGGUUCGUUAGUGGUCUGCUGUAGAGGAUACAGCUUGGGGCCUUCUGAAUGGUAGGACCUAAAGAACAAGAUAGAAAGGGCUGUAGGUAGGGCCCGGUAUAAGGCUGCUCUGUAGCCCAUGAGUUGCUCACCAGUGAGAUGUUCUAUGACCCUUGUGUUCAUCAAAGGCUCAUUAUGCAGGCAUGAUUAAGUCAUUGGCUAUGGUGGCUGAACUCUUUCUCCAGCCUUUUUCCACUCCUCGGGGAAGGUUAAGGUUACUGAAACUUUCAACCUGUUAGUCAAGGGGUUGGUUCUACAGAUGACCGGCUCUCAUCCUGAAUCUAUUUAGCUCCAAUUCUCUUCUUGCGUCCACAUUGUUGUAAAUGUGGUGCUCUGCCAGCCUGACUUUCAGCAACUCAACAGCAGCAGCACCAGGGGUGGCACUGGUUUCCACUGUCACUAUGAGACAGGAGAUUGAUCAUCAGUCAAAUCCACGGAUCUGUGAGGAAAAAUCUGUAAACACCUGUAAACAUCUGUCAACAUCCGGAACACUGCCCAGGACUGUGUGGAUGUUUGAUUAAGCUUCUGUUCGCUCACUUUUGAGCUAUUAAGAGUUCUGUUAUUAAGGUUCUAUUUAUAAGGUCAAAUGCAUUCAGUUGAUCAAAGCCCCCAGGAUUACCACUGGCAUUGUUAGAGCUCAGGUCACUUUCUGGUUCAAAUGCUGGAUAUUUUAUUUCAUUUCUGCCUCUGUGGGUGAGUGCUGAGGGAGUAAAUCUCUCUGCCGAGCAGAGAGAUGCUAUGCAGGGUCCAUGGUUGCUGUUCUUUUUCCUCACGCCUCCAGCAUUCACAUACCCGUGAUUGACGAUCAUUGUUUUACGGUUUUUAAAAUUCCUAUCCAGAGACUUCAGAUUAAUAAUUUCUAUCAGAUGAUUUCCGCUAGUCACUUUACAACACACCAGGAUAUAUGACCGGAAUGACUCUGCAGUUGAUAGCGCAACUGCUUUCAGAUUAAAGGCA